GUGAAUCAUCAAAUUUUUGAACGCAAAUUGCGCCUUCCUCGGAAGGCAUGUCUGUUUGAGGGCACCAUUUUACAAAUCAUGUGCAGCGCUUUUUGUUGCACACGUUGAUGAGCAUUCCAAGAAUUUUAAAUCUUUGGUGGCGAAUCAUGAUAAGCGUGAAAGUUUUUUUCAGUUCGAGUGUAGUAAAAUUUUUGCUUGGGUUGUGAAAAAACAUAAUCGCGCUAUGGGUGUGGCAAUU
rnacentral:misc_RNA from 1 species